CACGGGCAUACACACACAGCGCAGGCGGCAGAAACACAUUGACACCUGCACGUCGAGUUGUUGAGGGUCUAAUUUAAGUAAAGUGCUUCUCUAGGAACCACAGCCCCUCGACUCACGAUGAUGGAGGGUGAUACGGGAAAUUCAUGGUCUCUGGGCUGCUGGCAGACCCAACUGUAUGGCCAGUUCACGCAUCGGCAGGGAGGAUUGAGUGUUUGCAACAGGAUCCCUCAGUGGGAUGGAUGCUUGGUAACUUGGAUGUGGUUAAAUCUGGGACUGCUGGUUAAAGGAUGUUGUCUCCUCUGCUGCAGCCGCCCUCUUCCUUCGCUUCUGCUGUGUAGGUGUGUUUCUUUCCGCUGGAGUUCAAGCCGUUUUAAGCCAGGUUUGUGCUGCAUCGCUGCUGCAAAUCUUGGGCUGCAACAACAAAAAUAGCUUCAAACGUUUGGUUUUCUUCAGCUUUAGUCUAACAACUGUAAUGACUCUAUGUCUGAAAUUGCUUUCUGGUAAUUAUUGGAUAAAAAGGUACAAACUAUGACAAAUUUGAACUGAAAUUCAAAUUUGUAUCUCUGUAAUUUCUGUUUAUUGAAAUUUGUUUUGUAGAAAAUAUUUUCUGUAUUUUGACAGUCCCAUUGUGCUUUUAAUUGCAAAAUUUAAAUUCUUUGUGCUUUUCUUUUUUUUUUCAAAUAAAAAUUAGAAUUAUAAUGAAAGUAUUCAUUUAAGUUUAAGCUCAAUAAAGCUGAAAUCAUAUCAUGUUUUACUGCUGCUGUACAUUUUGAGCUGCAAUAACAAAAAUAACCUGAAACGGGUUUGGAUUUCAGUAACUAAUAGUUGUAGAAGUAGGACACCAACCGACUCUAAAUCUGAUAUCCUGAAAAUUGUUACAUGGAAAAAGAACAAUAAUUUUUUUUUCAAAUGUGUUUGUAAUAUAAUUCAUGCAACAGCCUUAUCUAAGCUGUAGUUAAGUUUUGUUGCACUUUCAAUGAAAUUGCUUGUGUAAACAAAAAUAGUUAAAGUAGCUUUUGUCUAACAUCUGUAGACUAAGGACAACAGCUGGAUAUGAAUCUGAGAUACUAGUAAAAAGGCACAAAAAUUAGUAAAACACAUUAGUUUUUAUAUGAACCCAGAUUUGAAUGUUGGUAAAUUUUCCAUGUGUGAAAUUGCAGAGACAUUUAGAGUCUGAGCUAAGAGGAAGUUGGGCUGUUGUAACAAAAGUUCCCCUUAAAAGGUUUUGUUUUUAAAUGUUUUGGUCUACCUACUUCAGACUGAAGACACCUGGAUCUAAAUCUAAAAUAUCUGAAAAAUACUUAACCAAAAGUGAGGAAAAUCAUAUGUAGCUUUUGCCUGAUUCAGAUUUUAAAACUGCAAUUUUGUUUAGCUAGACUAAUAUAUGAAAUGUGUUGACUGCCCUUGAUUGUUAGCUAGCUAUUUUUGUUUUGUUAGCUAAUAUCUAAAUUGUACAGGACUUUAAAUGUGUAUUUUGAUAGAAGUCACCCAUGCAGCCUGAGGUAAGCUGUUGUUAAAAUGGCGGGGUUUCAUUAAGCUUUAAAAUGGUUUUUCUGUAGUUUUCUCCUUAUAAAUGUAGACUGAGUUAUCAAAAUACAUCUUAAUCUGAGGAAUUUGAAAUAAAACAAGAAACACAAACAAAA